rnacentral:rRNA from 2 species
ACAUACGACCAUAGGGUGUGGAGAACAGGGCUUCCCGUCCGCUCAGCCGUACUUAAGCCACACGCCGGUAGGUUAGUAGUAUGGUGGGUGACCACAUGCGAAUCCCUACUGUUGUAUGU